CCCUUGCCCAUGUCAUCUUCCUGCUCAUGGAUCACAACGGAUCUGCCCAUGAUGGAAUAUGGACCAAACAUAGUGGCAAAGAGAUUUGCAGGUGUCUCAGAAGUCUAACGAUCGUCGCGGAUGAACUGAGCAUGGUUUUCAGCUAUUUCUGUCCUUCUGGUGUACUGAAGAGACACAACCGGCCCCUUCCUACAGGAACAAGCCCCGUCCUGGCCCGGGCUCAUCCCUCUCCUCAGGAGCAUGGUGAGAGAGGGCAGGCUCCUACACUGAGUAGAUUGCCUUUUCCUACAGGCUGUGCACCUCUUUCUGGAAGAGAAGUGCCCAAACAUCUCAGCGCGUCAGCCGAGCAGUGUGGCCUACUGCUGCCCUUCUCUUGCAGACUGCAUUACUCUCUACGUCAUAACGUGAGUGCAGAAAGUUUGCCUCUUUCAGUGGUUCUUCUGUGGCUGUCACUCCCAGGCUGAGCCUCACCAAUCCUCCCUGAGCCCUCAGACUUCAGAGGAACCAAAAGUGUUUACUGGCCCUGUCUCAAUGUAUCUGCAUUACCAGUAUUCCCCUGGGAGAGGCAACGUGUCUUUGAAGUGCUGCUUGACACUAAGCAGUGUCUGAAACCUUACGCACCCAAAACCUAAUGAAAAGCCACUUUUUAUGUGCACAUCCCCACAUUGCUCUAUCUCCCUUCUGCCAAAAUUCUGAUGUAUUUUAAUGUUACAACAGCUAUGGAAGCAAAGAUGAGGUUAAUUCAUGCUAACUAGACUAAAUAUGUUUCCAAAGGUUCACAUUUCUGACCCUCUUCUUGCAAGCAGCACCCAUUUGUAAAAGUCUCCCAGUUUGUCCCCGUUCCCCACCACCUUCAUUGCCACUGCCAAUACUGGCACACCUCACCAAAACCAGGAAAGCUAUGCCCAUUCCUAAGUUUGCAUUUUAACGUUGAGUCAUGUGUGCAUGUCAAGUUACUAAAUAAAGCAAAAAAUGAUGAGGUUUUAUUUACUAGCUCAGGAGGAUCCCAGUACUCCCAGGCCACAGACCAGAAGCCUCCCGUUGGCGCUUAAAUCCUUGCUGACACCUGCAGGCACCAAAGGCUGUGCUUUGCAUGAGAGCAAGCAGGAGCUCAGCAGAAGCUGAGGGCAAUCAUGUUUUAGGAAGACAAAAGCCCACCUGGCUUGGAUAGUAGGCAGCAGCUCCUCCUCUGAUAAGAGCCCAAGUGCAAAUGCUGUGCAUGGAGGCCAGUGCUGUGGGGCCAGCAGCUAUGAAUGGCAGUGGCCCUGGGCUUCUGCUGGGGUCAAUGCUCAGCAGCAUCUGGGAGGCUCCUGAGGAGGUUCCUUGUCCUUGAAUGCUGCAGGAAAGCAGGUUGAGUUCCUGGAGGCUUUCUCAAAGCAGGUAUUUCACCACAGAUGUUGUUCUAUGCUACUAAUAAAAAAAAAAAUUAUGGCUUACUGUUGGAUCCUCAUCUCCUUUGAAAAUAGCGUAUAGUACUUCAGGACCUGAACCUCUUGGUAUUUUUCAAAGCAGUUUGUGGUAAAAGCCACUGUAUUUGUAUCUUUCAGAACAGCAGAAAAAGAAAAGAAAAAACAUGGUGGGUUUUUUUUUUUUUUUUAGAGUAAAAAUUGUUUUCAUGUUAAGUGGCUCCCCACCUCUUUAGCCAUAUUUAUUUUAGUGUGUUGAUUUUUGUAAGCAUAACUGAAACCCUGGGAGACUAAUGAAGUUUAACAAUGUCUGUUAAUUAUAUCCACUCUUGUUGUCUUGGUGAAAACACAGGAUCCUAAAUCCUAUUUACAAACUGAAAUCUCAGAAGUUCCAGCCCCUCAUCUGACCUUAACAUCUCUUGGUUUCAUGCAGCUUUUGUAAGCCUGUGCACGUAUUUAAGUUCCCCUGUGGAGAAUGGUUUUGGAGAUCAGAUGUUCAGGGAUUAGGAACACAAGAGGCUUUUUACCUUGCUUAAAAUCAUUUUGACAUUUUAGUGUAAGUCAUUAAGACUGGUUUCUUGAACUGUCAAAUGGGCCACCGUAUGGGUGAACCAUUUUUAGGAAAACUAAAUAAAACUAUUUUAAUCUCUAAAUGACUCCCCUUUGAGAAUUUUAACAUAAAUGUUUUGCACACUCUGAAGUUCCUAUCUGAGGUAAAUAUUUUCACCUGAAUUCCUCCCCUAGGAAGAUUAAUUCCCAAGUAAAUAAUUAAAGUAAGGGGCCAUCCUGAGGGAGAGCAAGUAGGGAUGGUCACUUCUUGAAGAUGCUCUUAGUAUUGUUUAUAUUUGCUUUUGCUUUCUCUCUUUUGUGCAGUCAAACAAAGCUUCCCCCAAUGGUGUCAGGUUUUAGGAUCUCUGCAGAGCUGCAGCGUGGUUCUGUGGGUUCUGAUGUCAGACCAGGUGAAUCCCAUUAGUUCCAACCCAGCAGCACCAAGGAUCUGAGCAUCUCUGAAGCCAGGUGUUUGGCUCUAGAAAAACAGAGGAUCGACAGGAGGCAAAAACCACGAAGGGACUAAGUUUAUACCAGCCCCAGUGUAUGCAUUAAUAAGCAAGACUGAGAAUACCACCUGCUUACAGAAAGGUUUUCAACUCGCAGGGCAUGGAGUUCUUAAUAGUAUCCAUUAGAUAUAAUGAGGUUUGCUGGUGCAGAUUUCCCCCAUGAAGUUAGUACACACUUGUACAAAAUAAAGCUCUUGCUGGGCUGUUUUUGAAUGUGGAGUCUUUCGGUUCCAGUUAAAAAGGAUAACCAGGUGUUUUCCAGGGCACACGGAGAAAUCUUUGGAUUGGUUGUUGUUCCUACUCUCGGCAUUAGGAUGCCUGCAAAAAAAGAAUAAAAACACAGAAGUAUUUCACUGUGGCCUUCUUGAAAGGAAAGCAAUCCUGCAAAUGCAUCAGAAAUUGUUCUAAUAGAUGCAGGAAAAACAAAGAAAAAUCCAUUUUCUUUGUCCUCUUAUUUUGUUACAAACCUUCCUUCCAUCUUCAGCCUCCAGGUUCCCCUCCCAUGAGUUGUCUGUUUUGUCUCUUGCAAGACUUUAUUCCCCAAACCUGGAGAUGUUAUUAAAACUGAGGAUUAUAAAGUUAUGUAGUACGUGGUAGAAGCCAGAUACAGAUUGGAUGUUUUUAUUAGAGGAUUACCAAAUUUUGUUAACAGGAGGGCGCCUGAGUAAUUCCACUGGAAGCUCUGCUGUGCUUGUUAUGAAACAUCUGAUCCCGAAGCAGACAGAGCUGCACCUCAGCAAGGUCCAGUUCUCUAACCAUGCCAAGGAGAGGUCAUGUUUGUGAUGUGUAAAGCUGGGUCACUGCAAAUGGUGUAUAAUGGUUUCAGUGGAAAAAGUGUAGUGGUCAUGGCAGAAAGUAUCUCGCCUACCAUAAAAUGCCAAAUAUCCCAAUGUCAUGUUCACUUCAGAAUCCUUUUCCACUGCUGGGAGAUAUUAUAGGCAACAAAAUAAAAUCAGCGUAUGAGGUAUGUGCUUCAGUGGUAGUUUUAAAUAUAGUGACAAUGUCUAACACUCUUUGUAGCUUUUCAUAAAUCGCAUAUCCCUAGUACAUGACGCUAGGCCCUUAUGCAAACUUCUUGCUCCUAAGGCAUGAGAUUAUGAUGAUAUAUAACUCUUAAUGUCGAUACAUUGGUGUGCAUGUAAAUAAGGGGUUAACUCAAGCUAGAGAACCUAAAGAAAUUGGAGGAGCGCAUCAACACACACACAAAAAAAUCUGACCUUAGACCACCACUUUUUCAUAGUGGUGAACUUGUCUAACUAAGGCCACCCAAGAGUUACUGAGGAGGUAAUUUCCACAGGUUCUUCAUUUAAGAUGAGGGCGAGCCAAGAAAUUUCCAGAAGCUUCUAGCGUGGCUGGUACCAUCCUGUGAUGGGUUAACCCUGCUGGGCAGCUCAGACCCACCCAGCCACUCAUGCCCCAACGAACAGGAUGGAGGAGAGAACUGGAAGGGCAGAAGUGCAAAAACUUGUGGGUUGAGAUAAAGACAGUUGGAGGUGGAAGGGAAGGCAAAAGACAACAUGUGAUGAAAAAAGCAAUCGCUCCCCACCAGCAGUCCAGUGCCCAGCAGUCCCCGAGUAAUGGCAACUUUGGAAAAGCUUUGGCCCCUAGGUUUAUUGCUGACCAUGAUGUCAUAUGGUGUGGAAUAUCCCUUUGGGUGAUUUGGGUCAGCUGUCCCAGC